GAUGAACGCUGACAGAAUGCUUAACACAUGCAAGUCUUUGGCGAAUCUGUGCUUGCACAGGCUAGCCAAGGCGGACGGGUGAGUAACGCGUAAAGAACUUGCCCUGCAGACAGGGAUAACAGACGGAAACGACUGAUAACACCUGAUACAGUUGCCGGCACGCAUGUGCCUGGCAAUGAAAAGAGAUGCUGCAGGAGAGCUUUGCGUCCUAUUAGCUUGUUGGUGAGGUGACGGCUCACCAAGGCGAUGAUAGGUAGCCGGCCUGAGAGGGUGAACGGCCACAAGGGGACUGAGAUACGGCCCUUACUCCUACGGGAGGCAGCAGUGGGGAAUAUUGGACAAUGGGGGCAACCCUGAUCCAGCAAUUCUGUGUGCACGAAGAAGGUUUUCGGAUUGUAAAGUGCUUUCAGCAGGGAAGAAGAAAGUGACGGUACUUGCAGAAGAAGCGACGGCUAAAUACGUG
rnacentral:rRNA from 1 species